rnacentral:rRNA from 1 species
UACGGGGGGGGCAAGCGUUGUUCGGAAUUACUGGGCGUAAAGGGCUCGUAGGCGGCCUUCUAAGUCGGACGUGAAAUCCCUCGGCUCAACCGGGGAACUGCGUCCGAUACUGGGAGGCUCGAAUCCGGGAGAGGGAUGCGGAAUUCCAGGUGUAGCGGUGAAAUGCGUAGAUAUCUGGAGGAACACCGGUGGCGAAGGCGGCAUCCUGGACCGGUAUUGACGCUGAGUGAGCGAAAGCCAGGGGAGCAAACGGG